AACGAACGCUGGCGGCAUGCCUAACACAUGCAAGUCGAACGAGACCUUCGGGUCUAGUGGCGCACGGGUGCGUAACGCGUGGGAAUCUGCCCUUGGGUUCGGAAUAACAGUUAGAAAUGACUGCUAAUACCGGAUGAUGACUUCGGUCCAAAGAUUUAUCGCCCAGGGAUGAGCCCGCGUCGGAUUAGCUAGUUGGUGAGGUAAAAGCUCACCAAGGCGACGAUCCGUAGCUGGUCUGAGAGGAUGAUCAGCCACACUGGGACUGAGACACGGCCCAGACUCCUACGGGAGGCAGCAGUGUGGAAGAUUGGACAAUGGGCGCAAGCCUGAUCCAGCAAUGCCGCGUGAGUGAUGAAGGCCUUAGGGUUGUAAAGCUCUUUUACCCGGGAUGAUAAUGACAGUACCGGGAGAAUAAGCCCCGGCUAACUCCGUGCCAGCCGCCGCAGUAAUAC
rnacentral:rRNA from 1 species